rnacentral:rRNA from 1 species
GACGAACGCUGGCGGCGUGCUUAACACAUGCAAGUCGAACGGUGAAGGGGAGCUUGCUCCCCGGAUCAGUGGCGAACGGGUGAGUAACACGUGGGCAACCUGCCCCAGACUUCGGGAUAACGCUUCGAAAGAGGUGCUAAUACCGGAUACGAACUCCUUGGGCAUCCUGGGAGUUGGAAAGUUUUUCGGUCUGGGAUGGGCCCGCGGCCUAUCAGCUUGUUGGUGAGGUUACGGCUCACCAAGGCGACGACGGGUAGCCGGCCUGAGAGGGCGACCGGCCACACUGGGACUGGGACAAGGCCCAGACUCCUACGGGAGGCAGCAGUGGGGAUAUUGCGCAAUGGGCGAAAGCCUGACGCAGCGACGCCGGGUGAGGGAUGACGGCCUUCGGGUUGUAAACCUCUUUCAGCAGGGAAGAAGCGAAAGUGACGGUACCUGCAGAAGAAGCACCGGCUAACUACGUGCCAGCAGCCGCCGUAA